rnacentral:rRNA from 1 species
UGGGGAAUUUUGGACAAUGGGGGAAACCCUGAUCCAGCCAUCCCGCGUGUGCGAUGAAGGCCUUCGGGUUGUAAAGCACUUUUGGCAGGAAAGAAACGUCAUGGGUUAAUACCCCGUGAAACUGACGGUACCUGCAGAAUAAGCACCGGCUAACUACGUGCCAGCAGCCGCGGUAAUACGUAGGGUGCAAGCGUUAAUCGGAAUUACUGGGCGUAAAGCGUGCGCAGGCGGUUCGGAAAGAAAGAUGUGAAAUCCCAGAGCUCAACUUUGGAACUGCAUUUUUAACUACCGGGCUAGAGUGUGUCAGAGGGAGGUGGAAUUCCGCGUGUAGCAGUGAAAUGCGUAGAUAUGCGGAGGAACACCGAUGGCGAAGGCCGCCUCCUGGGAUAACACUGACGCUCAUGCACGAAAGCGUGGGGAGCAAACAGG